rnacentral:rRNA from 1 species
GAUGAACGCUGGCGGCGUGCCUAAUACAUGCAAGUCGAACGAAACUUCUUUAUCACCGAGUGCUUGCACUCACCGAUAAAGAGUUGAGUGGCGAACGGGUGAGUAACACGUGGGCAACCUGCCCAAAAGAGGGGGAUAACACUUGGAAACAGGUGCUAAUACCGCAUAACCAUAGUUACCGCAUGGUAACUAUGUAAAAGGUGGCUAUACUACCGCUUUUGGAUGGGCCCGCGGCGCAUUAGCUAGUUGGUAGGGUAAAGGCUUACCAAGGCAUUGAUGCGUAGCCGAAUUGAGAGGUUGAUCGGCCACAUUGGGACUGAGACACGGCCCAAACCCCUACGGGAGGCAGCAGUAGGGAAUCUUCCACAAUGGGCGAAAGCCUGAUGGAGCAACGCCGCGUGGGUGAAGAAGGUCUUCGGAUCGUAAAACCCUGUUGUUAGAGAAGAAAGUGCGUGAGAGUAACUGUUCACGUUUCGACGGUAUCUAACCAGAAAGCCACGGCUAACUACGUG